AACUGAGAUAUUCUUAGCCUUUCUUCCCCAUAAACCAGCAAUGGCAGGACACGAUGUCCUGCCAAGCGACUACUGAGCCACGAUGGCGAAUAGGAGCGUAUGCGUCCGUCCUCACCACCUAAAUAAGAAAGGCUUAGAAUAUCCAAUUG
rnacentral:ncRNA from 1 species